CCCAAACAAGAGAGCCAAAGCCUUCUGCUGCGCUGUCUGUGAAGUUUCGUUGUUUUGGCCAAUUCUGCAUUAUCAGCCUUGUGCUAUGGGAGGGCAUCACUUUUCAUCCCUCGCCUGCAGUGCUUCCCAAUCUCCAUUUAGUCACAGCAGUUAGCUAACCAUGUAGCUGUUGAUAACAUAGCACGGUUUCAGAGCCCCUCAGCCCUCGGGAGGUCUGGGAUUUCUCUGCGCAGCGUGGGCCUGCAGGAGGAACGGAUCCCGGCUGGGAGAGCCAGACCAAUUACAUUGUUGGGAUGGAUGCAGUGCUACGUGAGAAUUGCUCUUAUUAGCAGCCAGUGGGAUAGAAGUUUUGCAGGAGGGCAUUUUCUGCAGCGGUGAGCUGCUAGCCAGAUAUGUAGGUCAGGCACCGAAAGCCGCAGACCGAAAUCAAGGCAACCACUCCACACACCUUUCCUUCGUGAGAGUUACAGAGACUACCAAAAUCCUCCACACCUGAAAAGGUACCAGCAGAUGACUCUGAAGUGUGUAUGUCACUUUGGCAAGUCCUGUAAGUAUCGCACUUCACACAUGUAGAAUUAAUUACAGAACAGUCAAUUAACUGUUUAUUUGCUCCUGCCCUGUAAUUCUAGACAAUAUAUUUUGUGUAUUUGUAUUUUCAGGAGCAAUACUAUUCAAGAGACACUAGCCACCAUUACAUACCCUCACAUCCUUUAAAAUGUCCCACUACCAUUCAUUAUUUUAAGACAUUAAGCACUGCGUAACAUCUGCAAGGAGAAGUGCUCCAUGCUGCAAACUCCACUGCUACAUUAACACAGUGUUUUGGUGAUUCUUUGCAGUCCCUUCCUGAUUUCUCCAGUUUUCAAAACAAGGAAACAAACAGAUUAACAAGGACAUAUCUGAGGGGGAUCGAAGGAAAUGAAUAAAAUCUGCAUAGUAUGUCCACUCUGCCCAUACUAUUAUUAAGCACUGUGUCAAGGAGAUGAAGCCAGGCUGAUCAGCAGCAGCGCCCAAGAACUGCACUGAGAAGUGGUCAUUAAGCAGUCAUGCAUCCACUGCCUACUUCCACCCCACCAGGUGGUUUCCUCCAUGCUUGCCCUUGAGAAGCCAAGCUAAACAGUCUCAUGUUACUCGAUGGAUGUCAUAAUAUGAAAGGUCAACUUUUUCCCUGGGUUAUGGUAUAUUUUUUUUUUAAUAAGUGCCAACAGAUUAUGUAUACUGUGUUUAAAAAAAACAGUUCAAAACAUAGGCCCCACUCCCAAGUCCCAGAGACAUGUUCAGCCUUCAUAUUCCCACCUAGGAUGAAGGAUAGCACAGGUGGUGAGUUAUAUUUUGUCAUCAAGCUGUUAUACACAUAAUUAAUUCUGUUGUCAUUACUAUUAUUUAUUCUGAACAAAAACUAAUAUGAAGUAGAACGCUGGGGGUUUGGGGGUUAAGAGUAAAGGUCUAUCCAAAUUCUCUCUCCCAACUUUUCAUUUGGGGAGUAUUUCUCAGCACUGUUUGUGCAUCAGUAGGAGCUGCUGGAUGAACAACUCCAUAGGCAAAGGUCUCCCUGUUCCCUGAGGGCAAAGGGAAGUACAUGGAGAGGCAAUAAGCAUUUCCUGCAUUGCAAUUGUGAGAAACUCAAGUAUAUGCAGACGAAUUUCCUUGCAUGACUGGAAGCUGUAAACUGGGUUUGGAAGAUACCCUCCCUGGUUUGUUGGGCAUGGAACUGCAGAAAUUUGAAGGAUACCCUCUAAGAGCCGCAACUGCCCAUGCACACCACACACGACAGAAAGGCUGUUAUGCCUUUCCCUCAUCAUCUGAUAAUAAGUUUUAGAAAUCCACUGCAAAACACCAGAUGCCCCAAACAAAGCUACAUUUUGCCACAAUUGCUUCUUUUCAAGAUUCCAACUUCAGACAGGACACUGCCUGCAGAAAGGUGAUUUUCAGUCUUCACGCACAGUGGCUGCUCCUUUUGGAUAUGGUUGCUGCUUCCAUAUUUGUUGGUUUCUUAAGUAAGACUUAAGUUUUAUUCCAAUUAUAUGGCAAGCCCCAGGGCUCAAUUCAGAUAAGCAUGCUUCUGUUCCGGUGCCAGAAAAAACAUCCUUUUUUUUUUUUUUUUCUUGCAGCCAUCAUAAACCAGUCACCCUAGAAAAACCAGCUCUUUGUUCUUGGAGAAACAACUAUUGUCAGAAUAUUUUACAUGUAAAUGAAACAUGGGAGCUCGUCUUCCUCUUUUAUUUGUCACUGCAAGCUUUACCCAUUUACCAUCCCUCUCCGAUUUUCCCAUUUAGCAGCGCAUGGAAUCUGCAGUAGUGCAUAUUGUAAUAUGCAAAUUGUAUAUAGCAUUUUGGUGUCAGACACACUGAAAUUAAAUCAAAUGGAAAAAAAAAAAAGGAGAGAGUGUAAUAAAGGUACCUUUAUGGCCUCAA